rnacentral:misc_RNA from 1 species
GAAAUGCGAUAAGUAAUGUGAAUUGCAGAAUUCAGUGAAUCAUCGAAUCUUUGAACGCACAUUGCGCCCCCUGGUAUUCCGGGGGGCAUGCCUGUUCGAGCGUCAUUUCAACCCUCAAGCUCUGCUUGGUGUUGGGCCUCUUGCCAGCGAUGGCAGGUCCUAAAAUCAGUGGCGGCGCCGCUGGGUCCUGAGCGUAGUAAUUCUCUCGCUACUGGGCCCCGCGUGCUCCCUGCCAAAACCCCCCAAUUUUCUAUGGUUGACCUCGGAUCAGGUAGGGAUACCCGCUGAACUUAA